UUGGGUGCCCUGCUCCUAAAGAGGGGAAAGAGCCCUAGCAGUGAGUAAGGAGCCCAGCUGGUGGUCACGAGGGCAACUAGAGUAAUUAAUGACCCCACCUGCCAACAGUCAGCUGACUGAAGGGGGCAGGGCCUAGCACAUAUAAACCCCAUGGCUGAAGCCAAGUGGGCAGGUCCCUGCAAGCAGCCAGGAGGGAAGGAACUCUCCCUGAGCAAGCUGCGAGGAGAGCCCUGACUGCAGGAGACCCACAAUGUUCUGGGCAUUGUACACAAAGACAGGCACAAUUAUUACAGAUCUUGCAAUAUAAAAACAUGGAGAAACAGCAGGGAAAUUAGAUGCCUAUUUUCUGUAGGAGUCAUGGUAAAACUGAAUCUUCAGGAAGGACUUGAAUGCCAAGAUGAUGGUGAUCUUUGCUAAAAAGGCCCUAAAGUCUGGGAGAGAAGCUGGUAAGGAUGCAUGAAGAUUGCUGUGAAUAACAACCCAGGAGCAUCAAUAAUACUUACAUUAAGACAGUUUUCCCAAGUCAUUUUGUUACAAUAAAAUGAUGUGAAAAAAUGA